rnacentral:lncRNA from 1 species
AUGUCACUAAAGACAAAAGAUUAUACUCACCCUAUUUUCUGCAUGAAGGAAUACAGUCUCACAAAUAAACCAUCGCUUUUUGAGAUGUGGCAGAGAAACAGCAUUCUCAGUCUACCACUCCCUCAGAGGACUCCAGGAGGAUGUGGAAUUGAUGCAUCAUCCCAGAAGCACUCUAAAGACUACCCGGCAGGACUUUCCAGCAGCCAGAGUGGACAUCCUAUAAAGCCUCGCUUCCCAUCUGGGUCACAAAAAGAUGGAAGAGACUCAGUGCUGUCUGAAAAACUGUGCAGCUCCUGAAAUCCAUUUUCUCUUCCCUCGUUGAACUGGAAGGCAAACGUUCACCAUUUUUUGUAGACCAUGCUGUUCUAGAUGCUGAAGCUUAUGUUUAAGGUAACUUUCAAUUUUUCCAAAUGAAAUUAUCAAAGCAGCACUCUCCUGAUGCUCAAAAAUCCCAUGUAACAACCUCUAUCUUGUAUCUUCUCCCAUGGGUGG